rnacentral:antisense_RNA from 1 species
AGUCACAAGAGGCCCUGAGCUCUGUGGGCCCCAGGUGCCCCAGGAAAACUUGGGGGAGAAUGGGCAUCCCACCCCAGCACUUUCUAGGAAGGAGGGCAGCAUUUUGAAGGGCUGGAAGUAGAGGAAGGAGGUUGCGGGUAGAAGACUCCAUACUUUCUGUGAUGCCUAUUCCUUAGGAGAGCCUUUAUAUAACCAAAGAUAUUUUUGGACCAUGAAUUCGGAAAUUCUCGGAGCCACCCAUCAGUGCCUGAGCUUCAGUGAGUCCAUAUCCCAUGUCACCCACGGCAAAGGAGAAUCUAAGACUUCUGAAGAGUUUCUUGCUUCUUUCCUGUGGGGCAGUGACUCCACUUCCCAGCAGUAAUGGAAUAUCCUGAAUUAGCUACAUUAAUGUUAGAACCAUUUGGACCUCACCCAGGACUUCAACUACAUUAUGCUAAAGUUACAGAACCCAAAUUUGGCAACUGUCUGCAUCUGAACAACAGAAGUUUCAACAUUCUGCCAACAGAGUAACUCCUGGACGAUUGGCACAGAAGGCACAAGGCAAAUACCUAUCUCUGUACACCCUGUGCUACUGUGUCAUGUGCUGCUCCAGGCAACUCCAAUGGAUUGGCCACCCUGGCCAAUGUGUUCUAGUAUGUUAGGUUUAUGUUCCCCUGCUUUCUACAAUCCUGUUCAAAGAGUUGCUGACUUAACCACAGAGAGGAUUCCAGAACAUGAGACACAGAAUAAACUUGAGCAAUCAUAGUCCAUCCACUUCAUUUUCUCAUCAAAAACCAAAGGUCCAGUGAAGCUCUGGAACUCAACGCUGUAAAGGAGCGAAGGAGCUUCUAUACAGAGCCUGGAUGCCUGUCUCCUUAUCCUAC